AUGGCAGCAAGCAGUCUUAAAAUGCACACAGUUCACAGCACAAACCCCACACUAAAGAGAACAUUAGCCAAAACAUAUUUCAAAUUAAUACAGUCCGUGCACCGCUUAAUCACAAGAGAGGGAUGCCUUGAAAAGGGAGAUUUACCUAAAAGUGUGUUGAGACAGGUUACGAAAUCAACCUAAUUUUAAAGUUUCAACACCACCUGCAAUUCCACACUAGAGCCAUGAGGGGACGCGAUCACACCACAACAAAGAAACUAAAACAUGCUCUGACAACAGGUGGGACUCUUGCUCCACCUCUCCCCCACAAGUAGACACCCCACAGGCGCACACAUGCACGCACAAACGCUUUUACACACCUCCCAGCAAUGCCUCCUUCACCAGCAUCGCACUGACCGGUACGGGACCACACAUGGAAGGAGGCAGAGAAGGCACGCCUGGACACACGGGAAUUACAAUCUCUUCUGGUGAACAAACCGACACGCACCUGGCGAGGGACAGCCCUGGGUUCUCGAGGACUACAAAAACCUCCAGGCGCUGCAGCAGAGACUGGGGGCAACGCAUCCGUCACCAGCAUCGCACGGACCGGCACGGGUCCACACGUUGAAGGAGGCAGAGAAGGCGGCCCUAGACAAACAGGGAUUACAAUCGCUGCCGGUGAAGAAAGUGACGCGCACCUGCUGAGGGCCGGCUCUGGGCUCUCGCGGACGACAAAGACCUGGUCCAGGUGCUGCAACAGAGACAGGGAGGUAAGACUGGGCUUCAUCUAUACCGGGCAACUUUCUGUAUUGUCUUUCAGUGUUGAUGUGAUUGUGUAUGUUGUUCUCUACCACUCCGAAUAGUUGAGCCCAACAUUGUGCUACUUACUGAUAUUUAUUAAUACUAUUUAAAAAAGAAAAAGGAAAAAAAAAAAAAGGUGAAAAAUGGUAAGUUUGCAGAAUAGAUUUGAUGUUUGAGUGCAACAAAGGGACAUGAUGGCAGCAAGCAGUCUUAAAAUGCACACAGUUCACAGCACAAACCCCACACUAAAGAGAACAUUAGCCAAAACAUAUUUCAAAUUAAUACAGUCCGUGCACCGCUUAAUCACAAGAGAGGGAUGCCUUGAAAAGGGAGAUUUACCUAAAAGUGUGUUGAGACAGGUUACGAAAUCAACCUAAUUUUAAAGUUUCAACACCACCUGCAAUUCCACACUAGAGCCAUGAGGGGACGCGAUCACACCACAACAAAGAAACUAAAACAUGCUCUGACAACAGGUGGGACUCUUGCUCCACCUCUCCCCCACAAGUAGACACCCCACAGGCGCACACAUGCACGCACAAACGCUUUUACACACCUCCCAGCAAUGCCUCCUUCACCAGCAUCGCACUGACCGGUACGGGACCACACAUGGAAGGAGGCAGAGAAGGCACGCCUGGACACACGGGGAUUACAAUCUCUUCUGGUGAACAAACCGACACGCACCUGGCGAGGGACAGCCCUGGGUUCUCGAGGACUACAAAAACCUCCAGGCGCUGCAGCAGAGACUGGGGGGUAAGACUGAGGUCCUUCUGUACCGGGCGACCUUUCUGUAUUGUCUCUCGCUGUUGAUGUGAUUGCAGACAGCAACGUACACACCACUCUGAAUAGUUGGGCCCAAC
ensembl:lncRNA